GAUGAAGAACGUAGCGAAAUGCGAUACUUGGUGUGAAUUGCAGAAUCCCGUGAACCAUCGAGUCUUUGAACGCAAGUUGCGCCCGAAGCCACUAGGCCGAGGGCACGCCUGCCUGGGCGUCACACGUCGUUGCCCCCCCAUCUACUCCUUCGGGAUUGCGGGGGGGCGGAUGAUGGCCUCCCGUGCGCCUAGCCGCGCGGUUGGCAUAAAUACCAAGUCCUCGGCGACGCACGCCACGACAAUCGGUGGUUGCGAAACCUCGGUUGCCCGUCGUGUGCGUUCGUCGCGCAUCCAGGGCUCGAAAAAAUGCUCGGCUUCGGCUCGGCUUUCAACGCGACCCCAGGUCAGGCGGGGUUACCCGCUGAAUUUAAGCAUAUCAAUAAGCGGAGGA
rnacentral:misc_RNA from 1 species